UCGAGAGUUUGAUCCUGGCUCAGGAUGAACGCUAGCGGCAGGCUUAACACAUGCAAGUCGAGGGGUAUAGUUCUUCGGAGCUAGAGACCGGCGCACGGGUGCGUAACGCGUAUGCAAUCUACCUUUUACAGAGGGAUAGCCCAGAGAAAUUUGGAUUAAUACCUCAUAGUAUUUUCGAAUCGCAUGAUUUGAUUAUUAAAGUUCCAAGGUUAAAGAUGAGCAUGCGUCCCAUUAGCUUAGAUGGUAAGGUAACGGCUUAUCAGU
rnacentral:rRNA from 1 species